ACAGAUUCUCCUAUAAGAACACGUCUCUAUGUUAUGGGCGACGCACUCAUACGGACAUAUUACAAGCUCUAUGAAAUCCAUUGGUCACAUUGUCAAGUCCCUGAAAGAUGUUCAGACAGUCUUGGAACAAAUUGGAGGGCAUUGAAAAUUGAAUAGAAUAUGCUUAUUUGUUAUUUCCAACUGACGCAUUUCGACAUUACGGCCUUCGUCAGGGUGUUUUUCUAACUUGUCAAUGAAUUAGUCAAGCAAAUCUAGUUAGAUGCAACUCUAGGUAGAUGCAACAGACGUUCGAGUUCGAGGUGCUACGUACAGCAUCACGAUACUUUAGAUGAGUGGGAUGAUUCAAGAUCACAGCACACCUUGCCCAGACAGAACUAUAGACAUCUUCAUCCUCACUAAUGAUAGCUAAGUACCCUGCAGGCUGGCCGUAGGAUGUCAUUAUCUCACCAGUCACCAUUUUUUAACAUGCAGACAAGUGAGCUAUAUGUCCUCCAGUUUCUUGACUUUGCGCCAAGGGCCAGACAGAGAGACGGGCGGAGGAUUCUGAUCUGAUCCGGGUUGGGGUGUGGUGGGGUUGGAGAACUGUCUGAGAGGGGGAGGCUGGCUGGAGGAGGAGACGGAGAGGAGUGCUCCUCCGUGGGGGUGAGUCAUCGCCUUUGGCGGCUAUUCGGUGAGUUUCAUCUGGGAGGAUCGUGAAUCUUCGGUUGGUCGGUGAAUCCGCCGUCCUCGCCACAGCCAGAGAGGGGCUGUGAAGGAAAGUGUGGGGGCCUGGCUGGGCUGAUGACUCAGGGCCACGCACCGCACAAGGAGUGAGGGAGGAGGGAGGGAGGAAUUACUCAGAGCAUGUGGAAUCUCAUACAGCUAUCACAGGACAGACACGGUGCUUCUACUAGGCUCCGAGGCUCUGUAGAAGUCUGUCCUUAGACACAGCGGUAAUGGCAGUGGUAAGACGGCUAAGGGCCAUUGGUUUCCAUUGAAGAGGAACAGAACAGAGCAGUAUAUUCUUGUCCUCGCACCUUGAAGCAAAGUCAUGCCCCCCCUUCUUAUUGAAUGAAUUACGUCUUUCUAUCACAGCAAGUUGGUGCAGGUUUGACGCUCUGCAACUCCAGCAAAGUAAUUAAGCACUGCAUGCUGUCAAAAUAUUCCAUUACAAAAGUCUUGAAGAUUUGGGAAGUGUCUCCGGUGACUAUCUAGAUGGGGGGGAGGUGAGUUGGGCCGUUUAUUGUCCAGUUCUUCCUGUUUCUUUCUUGAGUGAUGAUGCUCCUCCUCCAUCUCUGUCAUUGGAGAAAUCCUUUCGAAUAUAACCAAGCUUCAUUGAGUGAUGAUGACAAACAUUUCCGGAAAGAGAAAGUGAGUGGUGCGAGAACUACCUGUAUGACAUGCACCAUGGACUCUCUCUGCACCCCCUCUAGUGUGAGUCAUCAGGCCUAAAGACGCCGAGCUGUGAGUGGUGGUUCAGGUGUUGAUAAAUGGCCAACGGGGGAGGGCUGGUCGGGAGACAGGUGGGGGCUGGUGUGUGUUGAAUGUGUGUAUUGUGUGCAGUGUGUGCAUAUAUUGUCGUGUGCAUGUAUUGUGUGAUGUGAAUGUGGAGGGGGGUUAUGGUGUGUGUGUCUCCAUGAAGGGGGGUUGAUGUUGAGUGAUGCAUGACUCAACAGGAGAGAAGGCCACACCCAUGGGACGAGCCCAGGCUCCCUUCAGCGGCGGCAUGGGCCUAGAUCUCACUGACUACGGGUGCCACGAUUAAGGUGUCUUGGCCUAACGGAUGGAGCUCAAACACUUGAAGAGCCACUCAAUUCCUGCACAAACACACCGACACAAAGGCGAGAAAGUGGAGCACACCUUCACCCUCCGCCGUAUCCCCCUUUAUAAACAAACACUUCCAACCUGAUUUCAGCCAACCGGCUACUGAGAGUCUGAGACCUGGCCCCGUAUUCACAAAGCAUCUCAUAGCAGUGCUGAUCUAGGAUCAGGUCCCCCCGUCCAUACAAUCAUAUUCAUUAUGAUCUAAAAGGCAAAAAACUGAACCUAGAUCUGCACUCCUACUCUGAGACACUUUAUGAUAGGGACAACCCAGAGUAAACAGAACGACUUAGCCAUGGCUUAACCAUGUGUUGCAUCUCCAUAAUGGUCAUUUCCUCCAGUAAUUACUAAUCAUUAAAUGUCUCACUCCCAAUCGCCUGGAUAGUGUUUAUAAUAUGGCCUGCCUUGGUAAAUUCCCAUCAUUCUGAAAUAGCCUGAUUGUCUUUAAUUGGAGCGUUCACUAAACAGAGUCCACCCACCAGCAUCAACAAAUCCAAUGUAUUUUAACAGCAGGGAACAAUUUAAUCCGCUUCUAUAUAUCACCAUUGUAAACAACCAAGACGCAGAGCCCAAUGUUGCACAAUGAGCCUGAGUUGAGGAGGAGCAGUUGAAAGGUCAGGCAAACAGUUGUCCCAGGCUUUCCCUGCCUUUUUAAUCAGGACUCCUGUCCAUUUUUAUCUUGGUUAGAUCUCUUGACUUAUGGCUGUGUACACUAAUGCUGCACUUCAUGGCUCCUUAACCCACUGUUUGGUUUGCUUCAUAUGGACUGGAAUGUCAAGUUGCUAUUUGGCGUGGAGGCUUGUGCGCUGAGUCGCCGACAAAGCAUGGAAUGAAUCCUUUGUAGGCUAAUGGGCGGGCCAACCUUUUCCAGUGUUUGUCAUGGUGAGUUUGUUUGCGCAUAUGCAUACCUCAUAUUCAUAUUCAGUGCUAACUUCAGUGCUUGUGUGUUUCCAUUCUGUGAAUAUAGGUCCUCAAAGCCCAAAGUGGUCCUGUCUCAGAGAAAACUGCCUCAUUCAGCACAAAUAUUAUGGAAGAUCGUUUAGAUACUUCUCCACCCUCCGUGUCCUCACCAACCAGCCAUGGGGGAGGUGCUGACAGAUUUGUAGUUGUUUUCUGGCGAUUUGGGGUCAACGAUGCAUGUUAGCAAACCUCGCCGGCUCUCUUAGUUUGCGUUGCAAAACCAGGAGGCCCCCGACGUGCAUUCUGCAAUGUACACAGCACUCCGUUGGGUGAUUGGCAUGUGUCUGAUGAUGCUUUAGAUAUGGUUGUGGCCGUUGAAUGAAGCGUUCACAGUAAACUAAUGUUGGCAGGGGUCUGUAUUGUGCAAAAAUGCACAAAAUCCCUGUCAUUCAGUAACUAAUAGACCACUUUUACGCUAAAACAGACUUCGCAGAGUAAGCCACAGAUGCUCAACCGUUCAAAUCUCUGCACAGCAAGUUGGAAAGGACUAAGGGGAGACAACCUUGCUACCUCAAUGGCCUCCUGCAGUCUUCAAGGACUGAUUAGGGCCGGUGAACUUAAUGAGAUUUUCAUGGUUUCUGAAGUAUCUUUGGGUUUUCUCAGUCGGUCUCAACAGCACAGCAUGAAGGUUAAAGCUUGAAGACCCACAGUCUAGUCCUCCUUGUCCAGGCUGGCUCAGUUGAUAGGACGACAUGAUCGUAAGGGGAAAUCCAUCUUCCUCAAAACCCCUCUAAAAUUAGUCUUCCGCCCCUAUCAAAACUGUCAAUGGAGCUCCUUCAAAUCACAGAGAAAACAUGAUUGUUCCUCUUUGGUCUUUAUGUUGGCAAACCCCCUUCAUCUUGAAGGAGAAGCAAAAUCCAUUUAUAGUCCGUUUCAGGGGGAAAAUGUGUGUGUGGCACAACUGUUCUACAGGGCCGAACAAAGAGAUGUUUUAUGUUGACACUAGAUUGAUGUCUGUGGAUCACAAUGUAACAAGGCAAACCUCAGAAGACCCUCGCCCAGCAGCUAGUGAUGUGCCUUCUUAUUCUUGGAGCCACUCUCUCAUUCCAGGACAUAGAAACCCUUGGCCUGGACAUCCAUAGCCACCCAACUCCAAAACCAACAGUGCUGCCCAUGUGUAAGCAAAGAGGGCAAGUGUUUUUUUCACGACACCUAAAUGUCUUUUUCUUUUGUGGACAGCAUCUUUCGUUGCCCAUUUUGCUUCUUGUUAUUCCACAAGUCUUUGUCUUGGCCAGUUCUUGUGCACAUAGCUCUGCGGGAUCUGAUGUGUCACACACUGUGGGGAUGUUUUGACGUCUAGAGUUGACACUGGCAUCGAUCCCCCAGUAGGAUCUUUUGACUUCCUUGACUUCCCUUUUAGUUUGUAAUGGAGUAAAGUGGCUUUACAGCGCUUCUACAUCGAAACCCUGUUUGGAACGGUCAUCAACAGGUCGAUCUCCAAGGCAUUCCUGGUCGAUCGCCAAAUAUUCUGUAAAAAACCCAACAAUAAGCCUUGCGUUCCUAUUUUUUCUUUUUUGUCUCACUCUGUUGUUGGAAGGUGCACCCGAUUCAGCUGCCCUGCAUGCCAGGUAAGCGAUGUGUUCCCAUUUUGUUUUUACAUUGCUGCUACUCGCUGUUUAUUAUCUAUGCAUAGUCACUUUACAAAUGACCUCGACUAACUUGUACCCCCGCACAUUGACACGGUACCAGUGUCCCCUGUAUAUAGCCUCACUGAUAUGCAAUUGUCUUGUUACUUUUUGAUUUUAAUAGUUUUUUAAACUUUAGUUUGCUUAGUACAUAUUUUCUUAACUCUAUUUCUUGAACUGCAUUGUUGCUUGUAAGUAAGAAUUUCACUGUGAGGUCUACCUACACCUGUUGUAUUCGGCGCAUGUGACAAAUAACAUUUGAUUUGAAGACUAUGUCCCUUUUUGGUCAGUGUCAGCGGAGGCCCCUAAGUCUGCUGCUCUCUCCCUCUGCUGAGACUGACCAUCAGAUGCAGGCUCCAUCAGCCUAGUAAAAUAAAAAAAGUUAAUUAUUUACAUUUAUGCUCAUUCAACUGUGCCUCACAAUAAUACAACAACUGGUCUAUUAAUGGUGUGAUCAUAUAGCCUACCUCAAAUGUUGAAAUAUAAUUGUAAAAAUUGGUCUGAGAAGCAAAGCCAAUAUGCAGUGAUAAUAUAUUGGGCUUAUAGCCUACUGCACAAACCUCAUUACUAGAGUACCGUUUUUAACAGGUUAAUGUUGCCUAGGCUUACGUUUUUAAAUCAUGUGAAAAAUAUAAAAAAUAAUCUGAGCGGUAGAUCUCGAAUUGCAUUUUGACUCAGAAAAGGUAUGUGACCACUGCUUUAGAUUAUUCCGGGUGGUUCCUGCCUUCUUCGUCUUUUAUUAUUUAUCUUCAUCUUCUUCAUUGUCUUCAUCUUCUUCUCAAUAAAUAGGUUUUGUUCAGUAGCCAACUGUUGCAUCAAUGCAUGCCACCAUUUCUAGACUAUGGCUGUAGAUUUCUUCUGAAGAAGGGUAAUAUUUGAUGUAACACACCACACAACUGCAGUCUUUUGAAGCUUUAGCAGCCUCCGCCACGGCCAUUUUAGAUAUAUGAAGUUAAUAAAGAAGUUGUAUUGAGUAAACACUCGUCUCCGUUCCCAGAGCGAGAGAGAAGAAAAUUCAUGUAGUGCAGUAAAUUGAACUCAACUUUGCCUCGUUCAUGAACUCCCCUAAAAAGAACCUGUUCCAACAAGUGAAACACUUUCCAGCUAAGCUAACACAAAGGCCUUUUAACAUAACAUAAGAUAAUUGGUUUUCAAUUAUGAGAUACCAAUAAAAACCAGGUUAACGCCUCUGUCAAAGGCUGAGAAACGCUUGAAAAGUGUCGGACAUAACCAUAUAACGGUGAUUUCUCUAAAUACUUUGAUACAUUGCUUUCAGAAAGUAUUCACACACCUUGACUUAUUCCACGUGUUCUUGUGUUACAGCCUGAAUUUAAAAUGGAUUAAAUUGAGAUUUUGUGUCACUGGUUUACACACACAAUACACACAAUGUGUAGGGUGCCGUCUUUCGGAUGGGACGUUAAACGGGUGUCCUGACUCUCUGAGGUCAUUAAAGAUCCCAUGGCACUUAUCGUAAGAGUAGGGGUGUUAACCCCGGUGUCCUGGCUAAAUUCCCAAUCUGGCCCUCAAACCAUCAUGGUCACCUAAUAAUCCCCAGUUUACAAUUGGCUCAUUCAUCCCCCUCCUCUCCCCUGUAACUAUUCGCCAGGUCGUUGCUGCAAAUGAGAACGUGUUCUCAGUCAACUUACCUGGUAAAAUAACGGUAAAUAAAUAAAUAAUAAAUAAAUAAAUACCUCAUAAUGUCAAAAUUGAAUUUUUACAGAUUUUUACAAAUUAAUUAAAAAUGAAAAGCUGAAAUGUCUUUAGUCAAUAAGUAUUCAACUUCUUUGUUAUGGCAAGCUUAAAUAAAUUCAGGAGUAGAAAUGUGCUUAACAAGUCACAUAAUAAUUUGUAUGGACUCACUCUGUGUGCAAUAAGUGUUUAAAAUAAUUUUUUUAUGACUACCCCAUCCCUGUACCCCACACAUACAAUUACCUGUAAAGUCCCUCAGUCGAGCAAUGAAUUUCAAACACACAGAUCAGGGAGGUUUUCUAAUGCCUCACAAAGGCCACGUAAAAAGCAUACAUUGAAUAUCCCUUUGAGCAUGGUGAAGUUAUUAAUUAGACUUUGGAUGAUGUAUCAAUACACACAGUCACUACAAAGACACAGGCGUUCUUCAUAAUGUAGUUUCUGGAGAGGAAGGAAAAUGCUCAGGGAUUUCACCAUGAGGCCAAUGGUGACAUUAAAACAGUUACAGAGUUGGCUGUGAUAGAAGAAAACUGAGGAUGGAUCAACAACAUUGUAGUUACUCCACAAUACUAACCUGAAUGAAAAGAGUGAAAAGAAGGAAGCCUGUACAGAACAAAAAUACUCCAAAACAUGCAUCCUGUUUCUAAUAAUGCACUAAAGUAAAACAUGUGGCAAAGAAAUUAUCUUUAUGUCCUGAAUACAAAGUGUUAUGUUUGGGGUAAAUACAACAUCACUGAGUACCACUCUUCAUAUUUUCAAGCAUGGUGGCUGCAUCAUGUUAUGAAUAUGAUUGUCAUCAGCAACGACUAGGGAGUUAUAAAUAAACAGAAUAGCGAUAAGCACAGGCAAAAUCCUAGUAGAAAACCUGGUUCAGUCUGUCCAAAAGACACUGGGAGACAAUUUCACCUUUCAGCCGGACAAUAACCUAAAACAAGGCCAAAUAUACACUGGAGUUGCUUACCAAGACGACAUUGAAUGUGCCUGAGUGGCCGAGUAAAAUUUUUGACUAAUGUUUUUAAUUUUACCUUUAUUUAACUAGGCAAGUCAGUUAAUAACUUAAAUCUGCUUGAGAAUCUAUAGCAAGACUUGAAAAUGGCUGUCUAGCAAUGAUCAACAACCAACUUGACAGAGCUUGAAGAAUUUUUAAAAGAAUAAUGUGCAAAUAUUAUAUAAUCCAGGUAUGCAAAACUCUUAGAGACUUACACAAAAAUACUUACCACUGUAAUUGCUGCCAAUAGCAAUUCUAACAUGUAUUGACUCAGGGGUGUGAAUACUUAUGUAAAUGAGAUAUUUCUUUAUUUCAUUUUCAAUACAUUUACAAACAUUUCUAAAAACAUGUUUUCACUUCAUCAUUAUGGGGUAUUGUGUGUAGAUGGGUGAGAAUAAAAUCUAUUGAAUCCAUUUUGAAUUCAGGCUGUAACACAACAACAUGUGGAAGGGUAUAUAUGAAUACUUUAUGAAGAUACUGUAUAUCCGACAGAAAACACCUUCCCACACACACAAGUCGACCCUGGGUGUCUGCUGAGGUGUUGACGGGGGAUUGGCUGCCGAGGAACAGAGGCUGCAACCAAUUAGCAUACAGAGUAGUGAUAUGUGAUGUAGCCUCAAAUGCCCCCCGGUUAACAGAGAGGAUAGCAUGAACACACCACACUUUCUCUAUUCUCUCUCUCUUCAUGUCCCUUCCCUUUUCUCUUUCUUCCUUCUCUCUUUCUCUCUUCCUCCUCAGGUUCAGGCAGUCUAGAGGCCUUGUGAUCCGAUUGAGCCCCGGCUUUGUGGGAUACUCUAGGACGCCAGCAUUAAGAUAAUGAGACAGUCACGGUGGGUCUAGUUCUCCAGGAAGUCAACCGGAGUAGUGAGAAUCUUUAAACUACUCUCAAGUCUCAUUCAGAGAGAGAGAGAGAGAGAGAACCCUGUGGUGGGCGUAAGUAAGAGGAUGGAUGGUUAAAUUGGGCGAAGAGAAUGAAAUGGAUUAAUUUCUGGUUUGAUUUAAAGGCGUAGUAAUUAGAGGUGGGAACAGAGUAGCAUUAGCAGCAGAGGUGAGAGAGAAGUGAGGUGAAUGCUCGACAUUUCCCAUUAGAAACUGCAUCUAGGCCAGUCAUGUGUUAAAUAGCCAUCUGAUUGGCUGACUGACUACGGUUGUAUAGGUCUGUUAUACUGUACAGAGUACUAGGUAGUCAUGAGCUUAGAGAAUCAACUCCCUUGUAAACCAGAUUACUAUCUCAGUGGGACUCGCCAGGUUAAAUAAAAGAUAGAUCAAAUAAAUAAAAGUCGGGACCUUCCUCUCAUGCAGGCUGCAGUUUACAAUGGUGUGGAGUGGGACAUGAAUGGUAUGGGAUGGCUGGGUGAGAUUUACACUAGUAGAUUCACAAGGGGCUGGAGUGAACUGGUGCUUUUCUCUGCUCUCCUCUCCUCCCUUUUUCGAUGCAGCUGCUUGGUAUGUGGGUCACAUUGUGAUUUUGUGUGUGUUUUCACCCGCCUGUGUGUGUGUGUGUGUGUAUACCCCGGCGUGCACCUGUGUAUGUGUGUGUGCGUUCCUAUAUGUGAAUGUACCUCUCGCCAGACAGGGGGAGAUAUUUAAGCGUGACAUGCUGCAUGGCCUGUUUGCCUUGCUCCCAGCCAUCAAGAGAAGUGUACACAUCCCUCACCCAGGCCAGGGAGGAAGGAUGUUUUUGAUGAAGUGGAGGGCUGAAUUUAGGCUCAGGCAUUCUCAGUAUCUGUCACCCAACUCCAAUAGAUCACCUUGCAGUGUGUUGCCCUGAGGAAGUGUGUGUCCAUGUUUACUCCCUCCCUCCCAGCUUCAGGUUGCUUUGAGCUGAGCCCAGUAAAUGUGCACAGUGCCUUCAGAAAGUAUUCAUACCCCUGACUUAUUCCACAUUAUUUAUAGCCGGAAUUCAAAAUUGAUUAAAUAGAUGUUCUUUUCACCCAUCUACACACAAUACCCGAAAUACUUCCGAAGUGAAAACAUGCCUUUAGAUAUUUUAGCAAAUGUAUUGAAAAUGAAAUGCUUUUUAGAAUCACCUUUGGCAGCAACUACAGCUGUGACUUUUUCUGGGUUAGUCUCUAAGAACUUUGCACACCUGAAUUGUACAAUAUUUGCACAUUAUUCUUUUUUAAAUUCUUCAAGCACUGUCAAGUUGGUUGUUGAUAAUUUCUAGACAGCCAUUUUCAUGUCUUGGCAUAGAUUUACUGCCUUAUUGCAAACAGGAUGCAUGUUUUGGAAUAUUUGUAUUCUGUACAGGCUUCCUUCUUUCAUUCAGGUUAGUAUUGCGGAGUAACUACAAUGUUGUUGAUCCAUCCUCAGUUUUCUCCUAUCACAGCUAUUAAACUCUAACUGUUUUAAAGUCACCAUUGGCCUCAUGGUGAAAUCCCUGAAUGGUUUCCUUCCUCUCCAGUAACUGAGUUAAGAAGGAUGCCUGUAUCUUUGUAGUGACUGGGUGUAUUGAUACACCAUCCAAAGUGUAAUUAAAAACUUCACCAUGCUCAAAGGCAUAUACAAUGUCUGCUUUUUAAAGAUGUAUUUUUCAUCUACCAAUAGGUGCCCUUCUUUGGGAGACAUUGGAAAACCUCCCUGGUUUGUGUGGUUGAAUCUGGGUUUGAAAUUCACUGCUCGACUGAGGGACCUUACAGAUCAUUGUAUGUGUGGGGUACAGAGAUAGUCAAGUCAAAAAAGCAUGUUAACAGAGAUAGUCAAGUCAAAAAGCAUGUUAAACACUAUUAUUGCACAGUGAGUCCAUUCAACAUUAGUUGUUAAGCAUAUUUUUACUCCUGAACUUAUCUAGGCUUGCCAUAAAAGGGCUUUUCAUUUUUUAUUAAUUUGUAAAAUGUACUUACCACUUUGACAUUAUGGGGUAUUGUGUAUAGGCCAGUGACACAAAAUCUCAAUUGAAUCCAUUAUAAAUUCAGGCAGUAAACACAAGAAAAUGUGGAAAAAGUAAAGGUGUGUCAAUACUUUGAAGGCAAUGUACACAGUGACACUUGCUUUCCUUUCCUAAAAUGUCACUACAUUUACUUCUCUACUAAAUUGGAGUACAUCACUUUAACUUUCAGUAUGUAUUGAGAUGUUUGGAUGGACCUUAAAGUCCUCAGGUUGUGGUGGUCAUGUACUGUAUCCUCGGUCGACUACAAAGUAUUUUGAAUAUGGCAGGGAAACUGACUGUGCUGUAUGUAUUUUUGAACAAUGACAUAACAAUGUAAUCUGCCUUGUUUAGAGUGGUUUACCAGAUGGCUUCCAUGGAGUUUCUCAACCUCCACCAAAUAGGGAAUUGCCAUUGACUGCAAGUAAACAACCUGAACACCAACUGCCGCCAAUGUAAACAUCUUAAGGUAGCAAGCGUCUCUGCUACAUUCAAAACCACGGCUGCAGUUGUCAGGCUCGGUUUGAGGUCAUAAAGCAUCCAGUGACGGUUGGAAAUGAAGACCACCCAGCUAGAAGAGAUCAGGUUGAAGAGAGAGGACAUAUUUAACUUGUGGGUCAUAGGUCAAACUCUCUCCCUUUCCAUCUCCCCCGCUCUCUUUCACUCUCUAUCAAGGCACAAGGCGAGACCCAGAUGCAGACACGGGAGGCAUAUGGUUGGAGUCUUACAAUGUUAAAUAAUCCAAAGGAGUAGGCAAGAGAAUGGUCGUGGACAGGCAAAAAAGUCAAAACCAGAUCAGAGUCCAGGAGGUACAGAGUGGCAGACAUGCUCGUGAUCAAGGCAGGCGGGUACAGAGUCCAGAAACAAGUGUAACGGAUGUGAAAUGGAUAGCUAGUUAGCGGGUACGCGCUACUAGCGUUUCAAUCAGUUACGUCACUUGCUCUGAUACCUAGAAGUAAUGUUGCACCUUGCUCAGCAAGGGCCGCGGGUUUUGUGGAGCGAUGGGUAACGACGCUUCGUGGGUGUCAGUUGUUGAUGUGUGCAGAGGGUCCCUGGUUCGCGCCCAUGUUGGGGCGAGGGGACGACGUAAAGUUAUACUGUUACAUUGAUGCUGUUGACCCGGAUCACUGGUUGCUGCGGAAAAGGAGGAGGUUGAAAGGGGGGUGAGUGUAACGGAUGUGAAAUGGCUAGCUAGUUAGCGGGUACGCGCUACUAGCGUUUCAAUCAGUUACGUCACUUGCUCUGAUACCUAGAAGUAAUGUUGCACCUUUCUCUGCAAGGGCCGCAGCUUUUGUGGAGCGAUGGGUAACGAUGCUUCGUGGGUGACUGUUGUUGAUGUGUGCAGAGGGUCCCUGGUUCGCGCCCGUGUCGGAGCCAGGGGACGGUUUAAAGUUAUACUGUUACACAGGCAAGGGUCAAAACCAGGAGGACUAGAAAAAGGAGAACGGGAAAAACACGCUGGUUGACUUGACUAAACAUAUAAAACAAACUGGCACAGAGAGACAGGAAACAUGGAUAAAUACACUGCGGAAAAUAAGCAACACCUGGAGGGUGUGGAGGCAAUCACAGGAACAGGUGAAACAGAUCAGGGGCGUGACAGUACACAGUCCAUCAGACAGAGGGAGCCCAGUGACAAAGUCCAGAGAUAUGAGACCAGGGACGAUGAGGGACCGGUAGUGAAUGAAGGAGGCCAGAGGUUUGCCGUGGAGUCUUGUUCUGAGCACACACUGUGCAUGCGGCGACGAAGGCAUGUCUAUGCGGCGACGAAGGCAGAGACGUCAGGGACCAUUGUGGGCCACCAGAAACGUUGUCAGAGGAAGGCGAGUGUACGACGGGACCCUGGAUGACAGGUCAGCCUGGAGGAAUGAGCCCAUUCCAGAACCCGGGACCGGACGGGAUUAGGGACAAAAAGCCGGUUAGCUGGGACCUCUUCAGGUCCAGGCUGGGAGCGUUGUGGUUCUCAAUAACCCAAUCCACAGUGGCAGCAAGGCAUGAGGUAGGAAGAACGGUUUCAGAGGUCGAGGGUGUGGCAGAGGACCUGUAUAGGCGGGAGAGGGUAUCAGGCUUCACAUUCUUUGACCCUGGGCGGUAGGAGAUGGUGAAGUUAAAUCUGGUGAACAGGAGGGCACCUCUACUCCAGGCUGUAUGGAGAUAUAUACUUGGCUGUAUGGAGAUCUGUAUGGAGAUAUUCCAGGUUUUUAUGGUCGGUCCACACCAGGAAUGGCUGUUCUGCUCCUUUGCUGACAUUUUAGUUCCUUUCAGCAGGAUUGAGAUUGGACUGGACGGCACAGGGAUGAAGCUUCUGAUCCUGGGCAGAUCGCUGGGACAGGAUGUCCCCCACUCCAACAUCCGAAGCAUCCACUUCCACCACAAAUUGAUGCGAGGGGUCCGGAUGGAUGAGGAUGGGUGCUGUUGUGAACCGAUGCUUCAGGUCCACAAAGGCUGGAGACCAUUUGAACUGUACCUUGGGAGAGGUGAGUGCCAAGAGGGGGGCCACCAGGGUGCUGUAGUCCCAAAUGAAACGGUGGUAGAAGUUUGCAAACCCAAGAAACCAUUGCAACUGCACCCUGGACGUUGGUUGAGGCCAAUCCACCACUGCUGUCACCUUUCCAGGAUCCAUCUGAACAUUGCCCUCAGCAAUGACAUAUCCCAGAAAGGUUAUUGUAGAGCGGUGGAACUCACACUUCUAGGCUAUCACAAACAGUUGGUUCUCCAGGAGACGCUGAAGGAACUGUCUGACAUGAAGAACAUGUUCUUGCGCAGAUCGGGGGAAACAAACAGGAUGUUGUCAAAGUACGCGAACACAAACCGGUUUAGCAUGUCCCAGAGCACAUCAUUGACCAAAGCCUGGAAAACAGCGGGGACGUUGGUGAGUCCAAAUGGCAUGACCUGGUACUCAUAAUGUCCACUAGCUGUGUUGAAGGCUGUCUUCCAAUUAUCCCCCUCGCGUAGCCGAACCAGGUGGUAGGCAUUUCAAAAGUCCAACUUGGAAAAUAUGGUGGCCCCCUGGAGAGGUUCAAACGCAGAGGAGAGGUAAGGGGGUUAACAAUUCUUGACAGUAAUGUCGUUAAGUUCCCGGUAGUCAAUGCACGGACGCAGGGUCUUGUCCUUCUUCUCCACAAAGAAAAACCCUGCGCUGGCAGGAGAUGCAGACGGACAGUGGCCAGAGAUUCCUCUAUAGCUUUGGUCUCUGGUCCAGACAGAGAAUACAAUCGACCCCGAGGUGGUGUAAUGCCUGGGAGAAGAUCAAUGACACAAUCAUAAGGACGGUGCGGGGGAAGGGAAGUAGCACGUGCCUUACUGAACUCUUCCAGGAGGUCAUGGUAUUCUGUGGGGAUAGCAGAGACAUCCACAGUCUUGCUAACAUCCAGAGGAAGACGACUUGAGGAAGGCUGUGCUGCUUGAAGGCAGUGGGAAUGGCAAAAUGGGCUCCAACCCAGGAUGGAGUUUGUGGUCCAAUCCAUUGGAUUGUGCUUUUGAAGCCAGGAAAAUUCCAAAACAACCGGAACAUGGGGAGAUGCAAUGAGGAGGAACUGCAUUGUCUCACUGUUAUUACCAGAAACCCGUAAAUGAACGGGCACAGUACUAUGGGUGAUUUCCCCUAUAGAGCGGUUGUCCAGUGCCCUAGCAUCCAUGGGCACAGAGAGAGGCUGAGUGUGAAUACCAAGCUCCGAAGCUAUCGUGGCAUCCAUAAGACAUUCAUCACCCCCAGAGUCAAUGAGCACUCGGAGAGACUUAGAUUGGUCUCCCCACAGCACAAGAGCAAAGAAGGGUGUGCGGGUGAUGGGAAUUAGGGAACUCCCAGUCUGACUCACCAUAGUGCUGGUACCCACUAGAGACAAGGGUUUCCUAAUAGACAGGUAGCUAGCUAUAAAAUGUCCUGCCCCUCCACAGUACAGACAACAGUUAUUAUUCAUCCUUCGUGAUCUUUCCCCAACUGAUAGCCUAGCUCUUCCCAAAUGCAUAGGCUCAGGAGUAUCCAACUCACCCAUCGUAAAUUCCCGAGAGGGCUUGGGUGGCUUCGAAUCCUCUCUUCGGAAACUUCCGGAUUCCCUUGGAGGUGAGCGUGCCAUAGCGGGUGCGCGAGUGUGCCCGAGACCAGACCUCCUCUCACUCUUGCGGUCCCUUAGGCGUCCAUCAAUUUUAAUGGUAAGGGCGAUAAGGAAGUCGAGAUCCAUCUGCAAUUCCCGGGCAGCUAGCUCAUCCUUUACCGCCUCAGAUAAUCUGUGCAAAAAAAAAUAUUGAAAAGAAACUCCGGAUUCCAGGCACUCUCGGCGGCCAAUGUGCGAAAAUCAACCGCGUAGUCUGCCACACUACAGGAGUUGACGUAAGUCAAGCAGUUUACUGGCCGCCUUUCUUCCGGAAACCGGAGACUCAAAUACCUUUCUCACUUCUGCAAGGAAUUCCUCCAGGUGACCACAAACGGCAGAUUGUUGCUCCCAAACCGCCAUAGCCCAGGAGAGCGCCCUUCCCGACAUUAGUGUAAUAAUAUACGCUAUCUUCGAUCUGUCUCAAGGAAAUGAAGAUGGCUGUAGCUCAGAAAUAAGCGAGCACUGAGAAAGAAAACCCUGGCAGGUACCAGGAUUCCCUGACUAUCGCUCCAGAGGAGGUAAGCGGAGUUCUCGGGGAGCCGGGAUAGGCUGUAUAAACUCACCACAGAUAGGUGAAAAAUUACUGGGUGAUUGGGUUUUUUCAGAGGUAGCCUCUGAGCUAACUCCCUGAUUUGCACCAUAAUAGCCUUUAACCCAUGGUCGUGGCGUUCCGUCAAGAACCUGAGCCCUUCCAAAAGACUCUGUACCAACUCCUCAUGUCUCCUAAUGGUGGCUCCCUGCAGGGAGACAGCGUGGCGAAGCUGGUCCAAGUCUGCUGGGUGAGACCCACAAGGUGAGACCCAGAUGCAGACACAGGAGGCAGAUGGUUGAAGUCUUACAAUGUUUAAUAAUCCAAAGGGAUAGGCAAGAGAAUGGUCGUGGACAGGCAAAAAAGUCCAAAUCAGAGUCCAGGAGGUACAGAGUGGCAGACAGGCUCGUGGUCAAGGCAGGCAGAAUGGUCAGGCAGGCGGGUACAGAGUCCAGAAACAGGCAAGGGUCAGAACCAGGAGGACUAGAAAAGGAGAAUAGCAAAAAGGAGUACGGGAUAACCACACGUUGACUUGACUAAACAUACAUACCACCUCUUUCUUUCCCUCUACCCCGCUCUUUCUAUCACCCCGCCUCUCUCUUUCUUUACCUACAUGUAUACUCCUGUCUUUUUCUCUCUCUCCUUCAUUCUCACCCUUCCUCUCUCUCAGCCUGGCUGUUAUUUCUCUGUAUGUUUUGACUAUGUGCUACCUAAGCUGGUCUGUGCUGUGGGCCUGUGACAGGUCUCUGGCAGGCAGCAGUGUCAAGUUGGAGGGAGGCUUGGUGGUCUGUGUGUGACAUGGAGAAGGGCCCACCGGCACCGCAGCAGCCCCGCUGAGGCCAGGUCUACAGCUGUCCCACCCUGCCAGGGCCUCUGCUUACAGUCACUGUGAGUUACAACAGUUGCUCCUCACUCACACACACGCGAUACACGCUGACAGGCGCACACACACACAGAGGCGAAUGCCCCACCCUACUAGCAGCCACACACACCGCAGACACAAACACUGAGGCAAUAUAUAUUCCUACCAGGAGCUUAAGCCCUCUCUGAGAAAGCCCAUUCCCACUGGGCUUGUUAAAGACAGGCCAUGUAGAAAGAGCACAUUUAAAGCCCACACAUCAAAUACAGGGGCAAUGUAAUGUGUAGCUAAUAGCUCUCUGUGCAUUCACACCCACACACACACACACCCCGUACCAGAGGGCACGCACACACACACACACCCCGUACCAGAGGGCACGCACACACACACCCCGUACCAGAGGGCACGCACACACACACGCCGUACCAGAGGGCACACACACACGCCGUCCUAGAGGGCACACACACAACCCGUACCAGAGGGCACACACAUACACACACACACACACACACACACCUCGUAUCAGAGGGCACGCACACACACACACACACACCCCGUACCAGAGAGCACACACGCCGUACCAGCGGGCACACACACACGUCGUCCUAGAGCGCACACACACACCCCGUACUAGAGAGCACACACACACACACCAUACCAAAGGGCACGCACACACACACACACACACACACCCCGUACCAGAGGGCAUGCACACGCACACACACACAAUGAAUAACCCCCACCAGGGGCCAGACGCACACAUAGACGAAUGAUCCUUAAUAGAGGACACACACAAACUCCCAAAGCCCUCAAUCACAGGCAUGUACAGGCCCAGCAUACAUGUUUAUGUCCACAGAUCAAUCCAGCUGAUCCAGCAGCAGCCCCACCUUGACCUGACAGAUCAACAAUGCUCUCUCUCUCUCCAUUAUUGGUGAGAUGUUUGGACACAGCUUGUAGCAGGGUGAUGAGGCCAGAACUGAUAUUGGAUUUCAUAACCCUAUAUUACUAUAGUCCAAUCAUUGAAAUGCUUUACUUUAGAACAGAAGCUUUUGCUAAUUAAAUCAAUAAAACUGUCUUGUUUGUUCUACAGCAAGGAGAACAUCCCCUGAAGGCGUGUGUGUGUUUGUAUCUAGUGUAGUCACGGGUGUUGUGUGUGUGUGUGUGCAUAUGUGUUCAUGCAUGUAUGUGUAUGUGUCUGAAUGUAAUACAGAAUCUCAUGCAACAAUCACAGGAUGGAAUGCUCCUUGGUCCACAGGAGAGGAUGGAUGGAGAGAAGAUGGAUGGAAACUAAAGAUCGAUGGAUAGAGGAUAGAGACUAGAUAUGGAUGGAGAGAGGAUGAUAGAGAAUAGAUAUGGAUGGAGAGAGGAUAGAUAGAGAAUAGAUAUGGAUGGAGAGCGGAUGGGUAGACGAUAGACUAGAGAUGGAUGGAGAGAGGAUGGAUAGAGGAUAGACUAGAGAUGGAUGGAGAGAGGCAUGGGUAUGGAUGAAGGGUGAGUGGAGGACCUGCAGUACUAAAAGCCGGCGACCCAGACCAUACACACUCACUCACAGGGACCUAACACCACUUACAGAUCUGCUCCUUGGUCCACUGCUACCACAUGCUAAAACACUUAGAUACAACACACACACACACACAAAAAAUAGCAAAAUGUGAAGUUCCAAGCACAUUCAAAAUACAUUCCCGAGACACAGACUACCAGUCAGUCAGAGACAUAAACACACGCUCUUGUGUGUGUUGUUGCCAUGCGAUGGUGAUGAGCAGCACAUGACAUGAAUGGGGCGUGGAGCCCAACCUCUUAUCAGACAAAGGAGAUACACAGAAAGGUGGGGAGGGAGGGAAGGGAGGGAGGGGGAGGAGGGGGGGACUUGCCGCCCCAGACUGCAGUCAUGAGGUCUCCAUCCCGUUCGGCACGCCGAGUCCCGUGGGUAAAAGGCCAUAAAAAAACGUUGUGCCAGAGCUAAAAUCCCCCACACAGUCAAGAGUCACAACACACACACAGGAACGGGACUGCGUAAAUCAAUGCCACUCGUCACCGGAGUACACCUUUGGCUUUGAGUUGAGGAGGUCCAGACAAGCUAUUUCACACACAUGCUGUUCAUGUGACCCCAUAAAUCCCCUUCCUUUUCUGUAUGUCUUGACCGAAGAGUUGUGUUUGUCAAUAAAAUGGAUGAUUUGCAAGUA